rnacentral:rRNA from 1 species
UACGAAGGGGGCUAGCGUUGCUCGGAAUCACUGGGCGUAAAGCGCACGUAGGCGGAUCUUUAAGUCAGGGGUGAAAUCCCAAGGCUCAACCUUGGAACUGCCUUUGAUACUGGGGAUCUCGAGUCCGGAAGAGGUUGGUGGAACUGCGAGUGUAGAGGUGAGAUUCGUAGAUAUUCGCAAGAACACCAGUGGCGAAGGCGGCCAACUGGUCCGGUACUGACGCUGAGGUGCGAAAGCG